rnacentral:lncRNA from 1 species
UAAAGUUUGGAGCUGCUGAAAUGGCAACUGCAUCCUCCCAGGGCACAGAUCAUUUCUCCCCUGCCUCAUUUACCACCCAGAUUCUUUUGCUCGCCACCCAGACCCUCCCCAUCUCCAUGCCCUCUUUGCUUCCAAAACCCUAUUUCCCUCCCACCAUUUGUUUUGAAUGUGCUUUUCCUGCAUGGCAGAAUGGGGUUGGACAGGAUGGCCCCUGGGGUUGCUCUUGUUGUUGUUGUUGUUGUUGUUGUUGUUGCAAAGCCUGGAUAACCAUCUGUUGGUAAUGCUUUUCCUGCAAUCUGUUGAUUGUACUUUUCCUGCAUGGCAGAAGGGAGUAGAACAGAAUAAUCUCUUAAAUUGCUCAUGUUAUUAUUAUUAUUAUUAUUAUUAUUAUUAUUAUUAUUAUUAUUAUUAUUACUACAACAACAGCUGGGUGGCCAUCUUUUGUGGGUACUUUGAUUGUGUUUCUCCUGCAUGACAGGGGAUUGGAUUGGAUGGCCUAUGGGGUUUCUGCUAUUAUUAUUAUUAUUCUUAUUAUUAUUAUUAUUAUUAGUAGUAGUAGUAGUAGUAUGACACAGCAAACCAGAGAGAUAUGCUGGAUUUCGUUUCACAAAAUCACAAUUCGAACACUUCCCAAGUGUCUAGGACUGUGUGAUGUAUUUAUUAUUAUUAUUUUAUUGUAUGACACAGCAAACAAGAUAGAUAUGCUGGAUUUUGUAUCACAAAAUUACAAGUCAAACACUUCCCAAGCGUUUAGGACUGUGUGAUGUAUUUUCGGAUGACGCGCGCAGAUCCCAGUUGGGUGACCUUUUGCAAUUGGCAGAUCGUAAUUUUGUCAAUGUCUAUUGUUUCCAAAUGCCGGCUGAGAUCUUUUGGCACGGCACCCAGUGUGCCCAUCACCACCGGGACCACCUGCACUGGUUUCUGCCAGAGUCUUUGAAGUUCAAUCUUGAGGUCCUGAUAGCGGCUGAGUUUUUCCUGUUGUUUUUCGUCAAUGCGACUGUCACCUGGGAUGGCAACAUCAAUGAUCCAAACCUUUUUCUUUUCCACAACUGUGAUGUCUGGUGUGUUGUGUUCCAGAACUUUGUCAGUCUGGAUUCGGAAGUAUCUUUGCGUGCUCAUUUUCCAAUACUUUUGCAGGUUUGUGAUCCCACCAGUUCUUUGCUGCUGGGAGGUGGUACUUGAGGCAUGAGUUCCAAUGGAUCAUUUGGGCCACAUAGUUGUGCCUCUGUUUGUAGUCUGUCUGUGUGAUUUUCUUACAGCAGCUGAGGAUAUGAUCAAUGGUUUCGUCGGUUUCCUUGCACAGACUGCAUUUUGGGUCUUCAGCUGAUUUUUCGAUCUUGGCCUUAAUUCUGUUUUGUUCAGACUUCACCUGGAACAAACGUGCGUCCAGAUCUGAGCAAAGCAAUUCAAGCAUGGAUAUCGACAAGGUGGAAGGUGUUGGAAAAGGGCAACCAAAAUGGUCAAAAGUCUGGAAGCCAAAUGUUUUUAAAUGCUUUUGAAAAUCAGACCACAAAAUUAUGAAUUAUGAAAGGUGAGACACACAGAGAGCCACAUUGCCUUUUCCAUUUGUUCUGUAGUAAGUCAUCAUGGAUUGCCCUGGAAUGUUGUCCAACACAUCCUGGACUUCAGAAAACAAUCCUUCCAUUUAAUAUUGACAAUAAUAUUAUAAUGUAAUACACUAUAAUACUAAUGAUAAUACAAUAUAAUCAUAUUACAGUAUGAUGGUAUAGUACAAUAUAGUAAUAUAUAAUGCUAAUAUUGUGCUAUGCUAAUAAUAUAGUAUAUUGUAUGUAUAUAUAAUUUGUAAGCUGCACUGAGUUCCCUUCGGGGUGAGAAGGACGGGAUAUAAAUGUAGUAAACAAACAAACAAACAAACAAACAAAUAAAUAAUUUCACUAUGUACUGUAACAAAAUUUGAUUUUUUUUCUGUUCCUAGUUCGAAAGUGUAGUUUCCUGUUUAAUUGUGAGGUCCUUACUUUGAAAGUAGUUGUUCAACUCCAGACACUUUCCUUUUCUGGCACAGACUAGGGUGAAUGGGUUUAGACUCUAUAAUGAAAACCUAGCAAAAUGUUCUGCAUGACGUCUUUCCUGCAAAACCAAAGUUUUUGCAGUUUAAUAAACCUUUCUCAUGUUUUUUUAUGAUAGAACAAAUUAGGACAUGGCAUUUAUAA